UAAAUUAGAGAAGUCAGAGUGCACAAGCAUUAGAUAUAUAGUAGCUAGGGUACAAUGAUAGAAAUGACCGUACAAAAAAUUUGUAAGUUUCCACAUCUUAGGGCUGUCCAAAUCCUUCAUCUUCGCAGGCCUUACCACUGCCAGCUCCUGAUAGUCUGCAAAUGAUUUUCUGCAACUUGCUACCUAUUGAUCAUGUUCAUCACUGAAGAAGAAGGUGAACUAUCAAAGACAAGGAAUAAAUAUCCUUAUUUUUAUCAAUGAGAUUACGUCUUUGUUUCUUUUCAUUUUCCUCUUAAGGAAUGGAUAGAUCGAAUAUGUAACAAUAUCUAUCUUUCUAAUCUCAAAUGCCAUCUUUCCUAUUUUGGUUUCCCCAUAUUUUUUGCUUCCAUUUUUGCUUUUUAUUUUUCUUGUUGUUGGCAUACUGGGCUGGCACAUUUUAUUCCAGUGGGCAGCCAACAGCA